UCUGACACCCCCGGGAGUGCACACGAGUGCGCUGAGAGGACGGCUGAGCGGCCGUCGACCGGAUGAACCUGACCGGGUAAUGCCGGCGUAGGGAGAAGGGAUAUCCGCAUG
rnacentral:ncRNA from 2 species